rnacentral:tRNA from 1 species
CCUAAUUAGCCCCGUUGGUAGAGCGCUCCACUAGAAAUGGAGAGGUCUUUGGUUCAAUACCAUGGACCAGGC